UGCCAAGCUGGCUCUGGAGGAGUAGAGGAGUAAGGGAUAUUGGGGAUGGCGAUUUUCUGGAAGAAGCUGAUCCACUCUAAAAAGCAAAUCAGAUCACCUUGGAGGCUCCACGUAACUUCUGCUAUCUGUGUUCAUCCACCAACUUCCUUAUGGUAUCAACUCCAGCAGUCCACAUGAUUCCCAGACCUGACCCUAACACCUCAGUCCUUCAGGAUCUCCUGUCUGCUGUUUAGGAUUACUGAUAAUGACCCUAACAGUACAGCUGGGGUGUCUUAAUCGUUUUCAUUAUACCACAUUCCAAUUAUUUGUUUGGAUUCUCCAUCCCAUCAUCUGUGCUGCUUAUAUAUAUAUGCAGUAAUCCAGUAAUAUCAAUAAUAAUAUAAUAAUAAUAAUACCAAUCAUUAAUUUUAUUGUUUUUUUUAACUUAUUUUUUUUAGAAUUUAGAAAACAUUUGUAAUUUAUUUUAGUAGUUUGCAUUCCAUUUUAACCAUACCUUUUAUCGUCUUUUUUUCUUUUCUUUUUAAUUUCAAGACAAGUAUUACUUUGUAAAAUAAUGUCCACUGUUCUAAAAACUUUUAUAAUGGGUGAUUAUAAAACAGCAUGCAUUACACCUCUCCCUCUUCUGUGUUUACAGCAUGCAUGCAUUGUAUUUUUUUUUUUUUUGUGAAUUGAGGAUUGAAUUGUGUGUAAACUACAUUAUUGUGUGCUAUGUGUCUGACUGAAAGGGAAACUCGGUUGGGGGCUGAAUUUGAAGGAUGGUCACAAUAAUCUUUUUCUAUAGGUGAUACUGAACAAGUAAUUAUUUUUCACUGAAUAUUUAAACACAUCCUUUGGCAGAGAUUGAUAUAAGGAAUUCAAAGUCAAGCAGUUUAUGCUGUUGCCCACUCUGUGUAUAUUUGUUUCUCUCUCCUGUUCUGUAACAAAGUAUUUGUACUUUAAAAGUGAGCAUACAUAUCCAACUAUGUAUAGCAUACACACAC